AGUGAACGCUGGCGGUAGGCCUAACACAUGCAAGUCGAACGGCAGCACAGUAAGAGCUUGCUCUUACGGGUGGCGAGUGGCGGACGGGUGAGGAAUACAUCGGAAUCUACUUUUUCGUGGGGGAUAACGUAGGGAAACUUACGCUAAUACCGCAUACGACCUACGGGUGAAAGCAGGGGAUCUUCGGACCUUGCGCGAUUGAAUGAGCCGAUGUCGGAUUAGCUAGUUGGCGGGGUAAAGGCCCACCAAGGCGACGAUCCGUAGCUGGUCUGAGAGGAUGAUCAGCCACACUGGAACUGAGACACGGUCCAGACUCCUACGGGAGGCAGCAGUGGGGAAUAUUGGACAAUGGGCGCAAGCCUGAUCCAGCCAUACCGCGUGGGUGAAGAGGGCCUUCGGGUUGUAAAGCCCUUUUGUUGGGAAAGAAAAGCAGCAGGUUAAUACCCCGCUGUUCUGACGGUACCCGAAGAAUAAGCACCGGCUAACUUCGUG
rnacentral:rRNA from 1 species